rnacentral:rRNA from 1 species
UACGGAGGGGGCGAGCGUUAUCCGGAUUCACUGGGUGUAAAGGGAGCGUAGACGGCCAUGCAAGCCAGGGGUGAAAGCCCGGGGCCCAACCCCGGGACUGCCCUUGGAACUGCAUGGCUGGAGUGCGGGAGGGGCAGGCGGAAUUCCUGGUGUAGCGGUGAAAUGCGUAGAUAUCAGGAGGAACGCCGGCGGCGAAGGCGGCCUGCUGGACCGCGACUGACGUUGAGGCUCGAAAGCGUGGGGAGCGAACAGG